rnacentral:rRNA from 1 species
GAUGAACGCUAGCGGCAGGCUUAAUACAUGCAAGUCGAGGGGCAGCAUGAUUGUAGCAAUACAAUUGAUGGCGACCGGCAAACGGGUGCGGAACACGUACACAACCUUCCAAUAAGUGGGGAAUAGCCCAGAGAAAUUUGGAUUAAUACCCCGUAACAUAACGAUGUGGCACCACAUUGUUAUUAUAGAUUUUUCGCUUAUUGAUGGGUGUGCGGCUGAUUAGAUAGUUGGCGGGGUAACGGCCCACCAAGUCUACGAUCAGUAGCUGAUGUGAGAGCAUGAUCAGCCACACGGGCACUGGGACACGGGCCCGACUCCUACGGGAGGCAGCAGUAAGGAAUAUUGGACAAUGGACGCAAGUCUGAUCCAGCCAUGCCGCGUGAAGGAUUAAGGUCCUCUGGAUUGUAAACUUCUUUUAUAAGGGACGAAAAAAGGCUUUUCUAAGUCGUCUGACGGUACCUUAUGAAUAAGCACCGGCUAACUCCGUGCCAGCCGCCGCCGUAAGAC